rnacentral:rRNA from 1 species
AUUGAACGCUGGCGGCAGGCCUAACACAUGCAAGUCGAGCGGAUGAAGGGAGCUUGCUCCUGGAUUCAGCGGCGGACGGGUGAGUAAUGCCUAGGAAUCUGCCUGGUAGUGGGGGAUAACGUCCGGAAACGGGCGCUAAUACCGCAUACGUCCUGAGGGAGAAAGUGGGGGAUCUUCGGACCUCACGCUAUCAGAUGAGCCUAGGUCGGAUUAGCUAGUUGGUGGGGUAAAGGCCUACCAAGGCGACGAUCCGUAACUGGUCUGAGAGGAUGAUCAGUCACACUGGAACUGAGACACCGUCCAGACUCCUACGGGAGGCAGCAGUGGGGAAUAUUGGACAAAGGGCGAAAGCCUGAUCCAGCCAUGCCGCGUGUGUGAAGAAGGUCUUCGGAUUGUAAAGCACUUUAAGUUGGGAGGAAGGGCAGUAAGUUAAUACCUUGCUGUUUUGACGUUACCAACAGAAUAAGCACCGGCUAACUUCGUG